rnacentral:rRNA from 1 species
CGAUAGCGUAUAUUAAAGUUGUUGCAGUUAAAAAGCUCGUAGUUGGAUUUCUGGUCGGAAGCUCCUGUCCUCUGAUGAGCGUACAAGUGCGUCCUACCAUCCUUCUGUUAACCUUUAAGGCUUUCGCGGCUUUCUAGGGGCUCAGAUAUUUUACCUUGAGAAAAUUAGAGUGUUUCAGGCAGGCUAGCGCCGGAAUACAUUAGCAUGGAAUAAUGGAAUAGGACUUUUGCCUCUUCUGUUGGUCAUGAGGCUCGAGUAAUGAUUAAUAGGGAUAGUUGGGGGCAUUAGUACUUAACUGUCAGAGGUGAAAUUCUCGGAUUUGUUAAAGACUAACUUAUGCGAAAGCAUUUGCCAAGGAUGUUUUCAUUA